rnacentral:rRNA from 1 species
UCAAGUGAAGAAGCGCAUACGGUGGAUGCCUUGGCAGUCAGAGGCGAUGAAAGACGCGGUAGCCUGCGAUAAGCUUCGGGGAGUCGGCAAACAGACUUUGAUCCGGAGAUCUCUGAAUGGGGGAACCCAGCCAGCACAAGCUGGUUAUCUUGCACUGAAUACAUAGGUGCAAGAGGCGAACCAGGGGAACUGAAACAUCUAAGUACCCUGAGGAAAAGAAAUCAACCGAGAUUCCCUUAGUAGUGGCGAGCGAACGGGGACUAGCCCUUAAGUGGCUUUGAGAUUAGCGGAACGCUCUGGAAAGUGCGGCCAUAGUGGGUGAUAGCCCUGUACGCGAAAAUCUCUUGGCCAUGAAAUCGAGUAGGACGGAGCACGAGAAACUUUGUCUGAACAUGGGGGGACCAUCCUCCAAGGCUAAAUACUACUGACUGACCGAUAGUGAACCAGUACCGUGAGGGAAAGGCGAAAAGAACCCCGGAGAGGGGAGUGAAAUAGAUCCUGAAACCGUAUGCGUACAAGCAGUGGGAGCAGACUUUGUUCUGUGACUGCGUACCUUUUGUAUAAUGGGUCAGCGACUUAUAUUCAGUGGCGAGCUUAACCGAAUAGGGGAGGCGUAGCGAAAGCGAGUCUUAAUAGGGCGUUUAGUCGCUGGGUAUAGACCCGAAACCGGGCGAUCUAUCCAUGGGCAGGUUGAAGGUUAGGUAACACUGACUGGAGGACCGAACCGACUACCGUUGAAAAGUUAGCGGAUGACCUGUGGAUCGGAGUGAAAGGCUAAUCAAGCUCGGAGAUAGCUGGUUCUCCUCGAAAGCUAUUUAGGUAGCGCCUCAUGUAUCACUGUAGGGGGUAGAGCACUGUUUCGGCUAGGGGGUCAUCCCGACUUACCAAACCGAUGCAAACUCCGAAUACCUACAAGUGCCGAGCAUGGGAGACACACGGCGGGUGCUAACGUCCGUCGUGAAAAGGGAAACAACCCAGACCGUCAGCUAAGGUCCCAAAGUUAUGGUUAAGUGGGAAACGAUGUGGGAAGGCUUAGACAGCUAGGAGGUUGGCUUAGAAGCAGCCACCCUUUAAAGAAAGCGUAAUAGCUCACUAGUCGAGUCGGCCUGCGCGGAAGAUGUAACGGGGCUCAAACCAUACACCGAAGCUACGGGUAUCACGCAAGUGAUGCGGUAGAGGAGCGUUCUGUAAGCCUGUGAAGGUGAGUUGAGAAGCUUGCUGGAGGUAUCAGAAGUGCGAAUGCUGACAUGAGUAACGACAAUGGGUGUGAAAAACACCCACGCCGAAAGACCAAGGUUUCCUGCGCAACGUUAAUCGACGCAGGGUUAGUCGGUCCCUAAGGCGAGGCUGAAAAGCGUAGUCGAUGGAAAACAGGUUAAUAUUCCUGUACUUCCGGUUAUUGCGAUGGAGGGACGGAGAAGGCUAGGCCAGCUUGGCGUUGGUUGUCCAAGUUUAAGGUGGUAGGCUGGGAUCUUAGGUAAAUCCGGGAUCCCAAGGCCGAGAGCUGAUGACGAGUUGCCUUUAGGCGACGAAGUGGUUGAUGCCAUGCUUCCAAGAAAAGCUUCUAAGCUUCAGAUAACCGGGAACCGUACCCCAAACCGACACAGGUGGUUGGGUAGAGAAUACCAAGGCGCUUGAGAGAACUCGGGUGAAGGAACUAGGCAAAAUGGCACCGUAACUUCGGGAGAAGGUGCGCCGGUGAGGGUGAAGCACUUGCUGCGUAAGCCCACGCCGGUCGAAGAUACCAGGCCGCUGCGACUGUUUAUUAAAAACACAGCACUCUGCAAACACGAAAGUGGACGUAUAGGGUGUGACGCCUGCCCGGUGCCGGAAGGUUAAUUGAUGGGGUUAGCUAACGCGAAGCUCUUGAUCGAAGCCCCGGUAAACGGCGGCCGUAACUAUAACGGUCCUAAGGUAGCGAAAUUCCUUGUCGGGUAAGUUCCGACCUGCACGAAUGGCGUAACGAUGGCGGCGCUGUCUCCACCCGAGACUCAGUGAAAUUGAAAUCGCUGUGAAGAUGCAGUGUAUCCGCGGCUAGACGGAAAGACCCCGUGAACCUUUACUAUAGCUUUGCACUGGACUUUGAAUUUGCUUGUGUAGGAUAGGUGGGAGGCUUUGAAG